AGUGUUUCUGGAAUUGUGAUUGUGUAUCUAUGGCGGUCUUUCAUUGUGGUAUGUGAAUGUAUUUCGCAUGUUUGCCACAUUCCUUAUUGCAACGUCAUUAAACAGCGUAACCGCAGACUGCAGGAAAAUAAAAUGUAAAAAGCGGCAGUAGCAGCGACACCGAGAGCAGCAUUAAAAGAAGUGGUAAU